rnacentral:rRNA from 1 species
GAUGAACGCUGGCGGCGUGCCUAAUACAUGCAAGUCGAGCGAACAGAUAAGGAGCUUGCUCCUUUGACGUUAGCGGCGGACGGGUGAGUAACACGUGGGUAACCUACCUAUAAGACUGGGAUAACUUCGGGAAACCGGAGCUAAUACCGGAUAACAUUUGGAACCGCAUGGUUCUAAAGUGAAAGAUGGUUUUGCUAUCACUUAUAGAUGGACCCGCGCCGUAUUAGCUAGUUGGUAAGGUAACGGCUCACCAAGGCGACGAUACGUAGCCGACCUGAGAGGGUGAUCGGCCACACUGGAACUGAGACACGGUCCAGACUCCUACGGGAGGCAGCAGUAGGGAAUCUUCCGCAAUGGGCGAAAGCCUGACGGAGCAACGCCGCGUGAGUGAUGAAGGGUUUCGGCUCGUAAAACUCUGUUAUUAGGGAAGAACAAAUGUGUAAGUAACUGUGCACGUCUUGACGGUACCUAAUCAGAAAGCCACGGCUAACUACGUG